rnacentral:rRNA from 1 species
GACGAACGCUGGCGGCGUGCUUAACACAUGCAAGUCGAACGGAGUGGCGGACGGGUGAGUAACGCGUAGUCAACCUGCCCUUCAGGGGGGGACAACAGUUGGAAACGACUGCUAAUACCCCAUACUGAAGGAGGGGAUUGCGUCGGAUUAGCUCGUUGGGGGGGUAACGCCCCACCAAGGCGAGGAUCAGUAGCCGGUCUGGGAGGAUGAACGGCCACAUUGGGAAUGAGAAACGGCCCAGACUCCUACGGGAGGCAGCAGUGGGGAAUCAUCCGAAAUGGACGAAAGUCUGACGGAGCAACGCCGCGUGGGUGAUGACGGCCUUCGGGUUGUAAAGCUCUGUUAAUCGGGACGCGGUACCGGAAUAGAAAGCCACGGCUAACUACGUGCCAGCAGCCGCGGUAAUAC